UACAGAGGUGGCAAGCGUUGUUCGGAAUUACUGGGCGUAAAGGGUGCGUAGAUGGCAUGAUAAGUUAUUAGUGGGAAAUCGAGGCUCAACCUCGUGGAAGCUAGUAAUACUGUUUUGCUUGAGUACAGAAGAGGUUAACGGAACUCCAUGUGGAGCGGUAAAAUGCGUAGAUAUAUGGAAGAACAUCAAUAACGGCGAAGGCAGUUAACUAUUCUGUUACUGACAUUGAGGCACGAAAGCGUGGGGAGCAAAACGG
rnacentral:rRNA from 1 species